UACGUAGGGGGCAAGCGUUGUUCGGAAUUACUGGGCGUAAAGGGCGCGUAGGCGGCCUGGUAAGUAGGGGGUGAAAUCUUGCGGCUCAACUGCAAGGCUGCCUCCUAAACUGCCGGGCUGGAGCACGGUAGAGGCAGAUGGAAUUCCCGGUGUAGCGGUGGAAUGCGUAGAGAUCGGGAAGAACAUCGGUGGCGAAGGCGGUCUGCUGGGCCGUUGCUGACGCUGAGGCGCGACAGCGUGGGGAGCAAACAGG
rnacentral:rRNA from 1 species